AUGGGAGAGUGGUGCCCAGCUCUACUUACAGAUGCUGCUAUCAAGGAAGGAGGGACUUGCCCAAAGUGCCAGAUGACAGUAGCUGGGAAGUGCAAUGGAAGGCUGGAGAGAUGCAUGGGAAGAAACAUCCAGCAUGCCAAAAGUACAGGAGGGCUCAGCUUGCUUUCUGCUGAUGGCUGUGAUGCAGAAGCUCCUGGGAGCAGUCUCUCUGGCUUUAGCUGCUGUAUUUCCACAGGGCUGGGCUGUAGAUUGGGUUAGAUGCUGAAAGGCAGAGCUGGGCCCUGAGUAAGAGGCACCACUACUGAUCUGUGUAUCCUGCGAUACAUCUGCUGGUGACCUGUGAUAGAGGAAGCUAUUGUGGGUGGCCAGUGCCCUGAAUCUAGAGGAAGGUUUGGAUAUGUGGUUCCUCAUCCACAGUGAGAUGUUUUGCUGCUUUGCCACCACACCCCAUGAACCAUUGUUAUAUUUGGCUUAUUCUUCCACCAGAUGUAGGUUUUCUGUUUUCAAGUAGAACUUAAAAAUGAAAUCUAUGCAAGGGGUGAUUUACAGGCUGUGUUACUGCUGGGCCAGGAACUGAGAGCCUGAAGAGCUGAACUUAGUCUGCACAAAUACUCCAGUUCUACUUUCCACCUUCUAUGAACCCCACUGGAUUGACUGUGAAUAGCCUCUGUGCACUCUUGUCUACUGCUGUUGAAUUUGGACAUCCUUUAGAACAGAAGAGCUUUAGAGCAGGCCAGGCUAUGCCAGAACUCCAGAAGUGAAACUAUAUGAGCCACCAUUGCUGGGACAUGUUCAGCAAGCCAUGAUAAUGAGAGGAAUGACAGGUUUGUCUUCACAGACUGAGCUGUGGGUCUGCUGAUAAGGUGAAACUGUCACUGAGAGAUAGCAGAAACAAUGGCAUGGAUUCCACUGAAGGAUGAAAGGGACACUGAGGAAACACCAUGAAUUCCAUAAGAAUUAAAAAGUAAGAGGAAGGGUUAUACAUUAGAGGGGAAUCUUAGGUAUUAUGCAUUCCAGGAAGUCUGUACCUCUCAAGUACCUCAGCCUAUGGGGAAAGAGAGAGGGACAAGUGGCCGGGAAAUUAGGAUAAAAAGGAGGCUGUGCCCUCCAAAAAUUUGAGAGACCCAGGGGCCUCUCCCUUUAUUCAAAUAAAGUAAAAGAACUCCUCUGUCUCCUUUUUGGA
rnacentral:lncRNA from 1 species